UACGUAGGGGGCAAGCGUUGUCCGGAAUCAUUGGGCGUAAAGAGCGUGUAGGCGGUUUGCUAAGUCUGGUGUGAAAUCUUUCGGCUUAACCGGAAGCGGUCACUGGAAACUGGCAGACUUGAAUCUGGAAGAGGAGUGUGGAAUUCCUGGUGUAGCGGUGGAAUGCGCAGAUAUCAGGAGGAACACCUAUGGCGAAGGCAGCACUCUGGUACAUGAUUGACGCUGAGACGCGAAAGCGUGGGGAGCAAACAGG
rnacentral:rRNA from 1 species